UACGUAGGGUGCAAGCGUUAAUCGGAAUUACUGGGCGUAAAGCGUGCGCAGGCGGUUUUGUAAGUCUGACGUGAAAUCCCCGGGCUCAACCUGGGAAUUGCGUUGGAGACUGCAAGGCUAGAAUCUGGCAGAGGGGGGUAGAAUUCCACGUGUAGCAGUGAAAUGCGCAGAGAUGUGGAGGAACACCGAUGGCGAAGGCAGCCCCCUGGGUCAAGAUUGACGCUCAUGCACGAAAGCGUGGGGAGCAAACAGG
rnacentral:rRNA from 1 species